GGUGGGGCCUGUGUAUCUCGCUCCCGCCAGAUCUUGGGAUGAGUCGCUGCUGUUCUGCGUUCUCCACCUCGGGAGUCCCCGGUGACUGUCACAGCCUCUUGCCCUGUGAUCUGCCGGUUCUGGGAGACGCACAGCUAAGAUGCCAGGACAUCCUGGAAGCUGGGAAAAGAUGGAGUUUCACUCUUGUUGCCCAGGCUGGAGUGCAGUAUCCCAAUCUUGGCUCACUGCAACCUCCGCCUCCCAGGUUCUGCCAACAAAGGAGAUUGUGACACAUUGCUGGGCCUAACACUACGGUGAUGUUACUUACUUGCUUUGGCUGUGCCCUUGGAAGGCAUUGAGACAUACUGCUGUGCCCAGCACCAAGAUGUAACGUGACUCUUCUGCUUCAGGCCUGCCAAAAGAAAAGAUUGUGACAGAUCACUGGACCCAGCACCUAG
rnacentral:lncRNA from 1 species